rnacentral:lncRNA from 10 species
GUAGACUCCACCUCUGGGGGCAGGGCAUAGCCAAACAAAAAGCAGCAGAAUCCUCUGCAGACUUAAAUGUCCCUGUCUGACAGCUUUGAAGAGAGUAGCGGUUCUCCCAGCACACAGCUGGAGAUCUGCAAAUGGACAGAGUGCCUCCUCAAGUGGGUCCCUGACCCCCAAGUAGCCUAACUGGGAGGCACCCUCCAGUAGGGGCAGACUGACACCUCACACGGCCAGGUCCUCCUCUGAGACAAAACUUCCAGAGGAACAACCAGGCAGCAACAUUUGCUGUUCACCAAUAUCCGCUGUUCUGCAGCCUCUGCUGCUGACACCCAGGAAAACGGUCUGGAGUGGACCUC